UGCUCACGCAAUGCUUUCUCCGGUUCUUACUUUUUUCGUCCUUUCUUAUUCCUCUCUAUUUGUAUUUUCCCCUUCUUUGUUCUGUAUAAGUGUUUAGCUUACUCUCUGCUUCAUCAAGGCCAAAAAAAACUAAGAGGUAGGUGAAUGUGCAAAGCAUUUGGGUCUUUUCAUAAAUGAGCAGUGUGUUUACCCACAACUUUGAUAUCUGCUUUUUAAGGCUUUUGAGGGAGGGGCAGUGCCGCAGUGAAAUUGGAAAAAAAAAAAUUCUGUCCGAUUACCCUUCUGGAUUUGUGGCAUCUCUUCAGUAAUUUCUCUCCCUCAUUAAGUGUUGUUCGUAAUUGCCCUAUUCCUUCAAUUGUUGAACAAGUAUUAUUCUUUGAUUCGUUGUUUCCUCUUGGCUCACUGUUACAUAUUUGAAUAAUUAUAACGACAAGUAGAUAAAAAUGGGAUUAGAAGUUCACUUUAAAAUGGCUAUACGCUACACCUGAAGUGAUAGUACUAGGUGAAUUUAUUGAAGCUCUGAUAAAUAAUAGUACUAAGUUCUCUCACGUGAUUCUUGUGGUGGUGUCAAAUUUUCUGGAGAUUUGACUAAUCAGCUUACGUACACUAUGUUUCGACUAACUCUUUUGUUAUAUAAGUCUGAAAAUGGAGAUUAGGUUAGGGGAGAAACCACACUAAUUCAAAAAUGGGCUAAUUAGACAGAGUCCAUCAUGUGUUUGAUUAUAUAAUCGAAACAAAAAUCCUUAUAGAAAAUGAUUAAAGCAGAAGAGUUUCAUAUUCCUGUGAUUGUCAUUAACCUUACUGAGUUCAGCUAGCAUUAUUAAGUAGAUAUUGUUUUUAACUCAUUCAGAUUAAUGGACUCAUUCACAGCAACUCAACGGAUUCUUUCUUUCUUUCUUUUGGAAUAGGGGUGGACUAAUUAUUUUUAUUUGUGUGUAGUUGCGUAUUCACUUUGCCAGUAUGAGCAGGAAACAAAGGUUCUGAAACCUUCAAUGAGGAAUCUAUUUCAUUAUCCGGUUCUGUAGCUAUUGGUUUUUAUAGAGAUUUUCAGCAAAUUCUUUUUUUUUCAUCGACUUCGUGUCUUUUCCUUUAGCAUCAAUAUAAAGUUCAAUACGAAUCAAGGGGACUCAAUAUGUUUGUGUUCAAAAUGAUGGUAUUUAUAAGCAUAUGUUUUGGUAUUGAUAUUAUAGUUUUUUCUGUUAGACGUUUAUGGAGUCUUAGUUGUUUUGCCGAGCAACAAGUACUAAAUACUAAAUUCAGGCUAUUUCGAGUUGCAAGGAUACUGUCAAACAUGUGAAGAUAGACUAUUGUCUUCUGAUUAAUAUGAGCGAAGAAUUAUUUGCCAGGCAACUGCCAAACAUGCGAGGAUAUAUUGUUGUCUUCUGAUGUACAGAAAGUAGUAGCACGUUUUAAACUUGAAGUUGGAGGCUGAUUUAAAAGAGAAAGCAUCUUCAACAUUAAUCUAUUGGAGUGGACUGCACUGAUGCUACAUGUGCCUAGAGGAAGCGGAAGUCAUCGUACAGUGAAGUAAUUGAUUUUUAUCGAACAAACAGUACAUUUACCUUUGCUUCUCAACUAUAAUGCACGUUUCUAGGAUUAUUUAAACUCAAGUGGUUGAUGCCUGGUACCCCAAAAGAAGCUAUCAUAAGUUGGAUGGACGAGCAAAGUAAAAGAUGUGUAGAAUACAAUUUCAUCUUGCACUUUUUAGGUGUUUGGAACGAAAGAAACAUAUAUGUUUAAAAAAUAAAGAAAACUCAUCCCACACACUCGAACACAAAUAUUUGCUUUGUGGUUGUCUUUAACCAAAAUGAAAGAUGUAUACAAUACGAAUUUCUUAGACCUCCUACUUGUAUUUGUAUCCCCUCUAUAUUCAACAACACUUGGUGCUCUUUUA